CACCAGCGCCCGCCGCCACGCGCGCCCGCCCUCAGCGCCUGUGGGGCGCCGCCCGGCGCCAUCUUGAGCGCGGCACCUCUCCGCCUUCCCCGAAGGUUAGCGAGAGCGUAGGGCGCGUUGCCAUCGCUCUCUCACACCGCCGCUAUUCGGAGAUGGAGAGUUGAAGGGGGGUGCCGAGAGCGGGACGUGGAGAAAGGCUCGGUUGCAAGCUCUUCAGGGCAGAGGAAACAUCUCUAUUUAUAAAACAGCCUGCGAAGUGGUACUGCUGAAUCGAGUGGUUUGUUAAAAUAACAAGAAAUUUUAGCAGAAAUCUGACGUGGAAAAGCAGUUUCCUGUGUAUCCACCUCUGCUCCGUACCUGGCUUUGAGAGAGGCUGAGAAGUGAAAAAAUUCCAGGCUUCUUUCAGGUAAGAAGGCUGCAGUCCAAGGGAAGGUCUCAGACCUGGGUUUCCUGUAGUUCUUAUUUUAAAUAAAACACUACAAUGAUUAGACCGGGCAGUCCCCACCUCUCAUUGAUUCCACAGCUGAGGAAAGGCUUUCUUCUGACACCCGCAUCGCACUGAUGUCCCCAGGGCUCCUGUUCCCCAUUGCCUGGCUCAGUGCCCUCAGAGGUGGCCAGAACAGGCAGGCACACACACACACAUCCACACAAAAAGCUCUCAUUCUCACACGGCACAUGGUUUCCUGCCUUUGUGGGCCAAUUACUUAUUGUUUCCAUGAAACUUGCUGGCACUAUCCAGCCCUUUGUCUUUUUUUCCAUUCGGAUAAUAUUGGCUAUCGUAAAACUGAUGCUCAAUGCAUAGGAUGGUGAUUCUAACAUUCAGUGUGCAGAAGUUACUGGUUUUAGUACCUGUAAAACGCUUAACAGUUGGUAAUACAUUUUAUCAUCAUCCUAAGUGUGACCAUAAAUAAACUUCCAUUGCACCUGGGUUACAGAAAACUAGUCUACAUUGCAGUUUGCUCAUCGAGGCAUUGCAUAUUUCAUCUUACUAUUCAUGUAGGCUCUCAGAUUUGUUUCUUGGGUCAGCUGAACUUGGAAUUGCUCUUUCAGAACAGUCAUGCAGAGGCAUUGAGGGCUACAGCUCUGUUGUGUGUGGGGCCACACCACUCACUGCCACAUAUCUAUGUAAAGGUUUUUUAAGGCAUCAUAGACGGCUGUUUGUAAGUGAGUGUGCAUUAGGCACCGUGAUUCCUACAAACAAAAGCAGUUAAUGUGCUUAUUGAACGGCUUGGUACGGGCACAGCUUACUAAAGCAAGAGGGAACUCAACAAUGCCUGUUUUAUUACAUUCAGAAUAGUGCAAGUGUGUGUUGGCAAACAGAAUCUCUGGCCCUGGUGCACUACAACAUUUGCCUGCUAUUCUUUCUUCAUGGAAAUACUUUCAGGUCUAUUGAGGGAAUCUUACUCUAUCAAUAGCAGCUGAUUAUUUAAUAAAAAACAUGGCACUUUUCCUUCUAGCUAACAAAUACAAGCACGUACUUAUCUCCAAAGUAUUUUUCAAGGCAUUUUUGCCAAGGAUCGUGCAGUGGGACAAGGAAUAGUGGUUUAAAAAUCUUCUGUUGGAGCAAGCUUUUAUAGUAGUUGUUUUCAAAACAAGAGCCAGAUGCCAGUAUGAACCACACCAGCAGGUUUCCAUAAACGAUCCUGUGUUAGAGCAGGUAUCUCCGCCCCAUCAUUCACUGCUGUGUGCUCAGUCACUGCAAACUCACCUUCGAGGUCACUUUGAAGUCAAGUAGCUGAAGGCCCGGUUUUGACAGGUAAAUUCUGGUUCUCACACUGUGUGUACUGAAACCACGUUUUGCUCUGCAAACAUAUUUCUUAUCCCAUCCCAACUGCCUCUCAGCAGAAAGUGCACUGUUCUCUCACUUCCUCUGCUGAAAAAUGACCCCCUGAGUUUUAACAUUAGGAAACAAGCAAAGAGCUUUGGACCAAGGCAGGUUUUUCCUUCUUUCUCUUUUUUUUCAACAUUUAUGAGUUUUAUUUUUAGUAUACAAGUCAAGAGUCAAUUAACCCUCUUGCUAACAAAUUAUAGCUUUGCUGCCUCCUUUACAUCUAAUAUAAAAUUGAUUCUAGGCUUAAAUAAUUACAACAGGAUCUUGAUUGCCACAUACAACAAUUUAAUAAUCAUCUCUUGCUCUGUUCUGGCUUACAAUAGUACUUUGUCUUUAAAGAAGCAGAUGAAAGAUAGCACUUGCCCAUUACCUCCUUAAACCCUAGGAAUCCAGCUGUCUUGUUGAACAGCAUGUAAGGACAGAGUGAUUUUCCCACAGGCCUUUUCCGGGGAGGGUAAAUCUCUACCAUAAAACCUUUUCUAAACAGUUGAUCAGGACGGAGGGAUUGAGACCGUGUUUCAGAGCUUUUCUCCUCUUCGCUGGAGGUGCAAAAUAAACCUGAAGCAGGCAGCCAGACCCUGAUGUACAAGGGGCACACCUGGGCUGACUCCUCUUUUGAGAUUCAUGAAGAGAGGCUGAAGAUUGAUGGUUCCAUUGCAUAAAUCCUUGCAGGUGUGCCUAUAUUUAAGACCAUUUCAGACAUUUUAUUAUUCAACAGAAGUCUUCUAGAAAAGUACUCAACAAUGCCAGCUCUUCUGCUUGCCACUUGCUGUUGCAGCAAAUAAGCCCUGAACAUCCCUAGGUACUUACAUCUCCUCCUGAGGGCUGGUCGUGGCAGGGCUGAACAAAGCAAGCAGCCCUUGGGAGGAGACACAGCUGCUUUCAGGUGAAAACCUGCAUCAUACUGUAUAGAUAGGCUGGCAGCUGGGAGCGCUCAGACCCAAUCUGCCCCAUUUACAGCUGGAAAACUUUGAAGAAGUAAAAGAGAACAUCUUUUGUGACAUUACAGUGAAGCUAGAUGAAUUAACUUAGAAGGAAGUGAGAAGAGAAAUCCUAGAAAUAGAAAGACAGAGUGGAAUAAGAUUUCAUUUAUUUUUUGCCAUUGGGAAAUAAGAUGUGUGAGGGAAUAUGGUUCUUACCCUUACAAAUGGACAGUAUCUUCCUGAAUCCAGCUACACUGAGGCCAAGCAAGGUUAGUGGUUCACAUUAACAGAUUCUAAUGACAUGACUUGCUUAUAAUAGUUUAAUAGUUCAGUGUAACAGUGACUCAGAGUUUAUUACUAUGAUGAUAGGUAUGCAAAGAGAUCUCAUCUGAAAAAAAAAAAAGUCUAUUUGAAUAGUUUACAUCCUUUCCUCCCUACUCAUGAAUUCCUAUGCCACUGACUGCAGGCUGCCAAAAAUAGGAUCACUUUUUGUGUAUCUGAAGUCAAGGAAAACCUCAAAUCAAAGAAUCAGUAGGAGGAGACCACUGUCCUUACAUACUGAGCCUUCAGGAAAUAAUUAUAAUGAAAGCUCUCUGAGAGUGGAGGAAUGUUUUUAAAAUGUAGGAACAAUCUCAGAAGUUAUUUUGCAGGAAGAAGAAUUAAUGAAUCACACAAGCUCUCUGUUUUGUUAUGUUGCACCGUGGGGACAGGAAGAUUCAUCUUUCUGUCAGACAGAGGAUCAAGCUGAAUUUUUGUCUUAGAGAAACUGUUCCACUGCCGUAGCAGGAGAAGUCUUAAGGAACAGCCCAGGAGAAGCCGUGUGGGCUGACAAGGAGCCAGAAGAGCCACAAGAAGCACUGAAGGCAGAUCUAAAAGCCAAGGCCGUUCUGCUGUUGCAUGCUCUUGCUGAGGUUUGUUUGGAUCUCCAAGAAUGUGGGAGCUGAUGGCUGAGAAUGUUGAUGCCCCAAUAAUGAGGAAGUAGGAGAGCACUCAAACCUCCCCAGAGAACAGACAAUCAGACAGGGAGGCUCACUGGGAAUCCUUCCUUUAGCAGCCAUCUGAAUCUGCACUAACUGUGUAAGUAGGAAAAGGGGACUGGGAAGGCAUAAGCAACAUAUCUGCGCAUUAAAUGUACCACCAGCACCCCUUGGAAAAAAAAAACCCACAUGGCACCUCAGAAACAAACUGCUCAAGUGUGAAAUCAUGCAGCAGGGAAAGCUGUCACAGACAAUCAGAAAUUGAUUUAAUAGAGAAAAAUUGCUGCAUAAUUUGCGCAGAUUGCUAGCUGAGAGAGAGACUCGCUGCUCCUAAGGGCUUAGCUGCGUGCACCGUCUGGCAAAAGGUGCAGAAAGCAAGAUUUCAGAGCUGGCAGUCCUACGUGUGCUGAAUGCUUCAUCUUCAAUAGCGAACAAUUAAAAUCGAUGACAAGGAUGCUAGGUAACAAAAGUAAAUGACUGAUCAAUAUGCAUGUCUUGGAGCUGAAGAAAAACCCGUCUGCCAAGAGCAGCAUGCUGAUUAGGCAACAUUUCUGAGCGCUUGAAGAGAAAAUCUUAAGAGCUUCCAUUCCCAACGCUCGAUAAAACAAUGCAGCUAACCAGAUGCCAGCCGCGGUGCUGAGAGGUUAAGUCACCAAGGAACUGUCAGGAAAUACGGGGUAUAAUCAUUUUUAGAGUAAAAAACCAUGAUACUUCCUUCCUUUCUUUCUUUCUAAAUCUGAAAAGCCCUUUAAUGAUGUUGAAAAAAUGAUGUAUUUUUAAUACCCAUGCAAGGUUUCAGAGACGCUGAGAUGGUGACAUUUUAAGGCCAAUGGCUGUCUUAGGCCUCAACUCCAAGCAAUUUAAAUCUCAUCCCCACAUAUAUUCCGGUUGGAAAUAUCUGCCAAGUGCUGCCAAAAACCCAACACUAAACCUUCCCCCAUUCAGUAGUUUUGAGUCGGUCACACAGAUACCCAAACCCUUAGGAAGACGUUGCUGUAACGCACUCCUCGUGGUUCUCCAUGCCUUAGGAAGGACAGGGACCAGCAUGCGGAUUCUCAGAGCAUUUACCCAGUUUUCCCCAUCCGAAUGGUACUUUUGGUCUCUGAGGCGGCAGACCACAAGCUGGCACAGAAGCAGUUAAGCACCUUAGGGCUCAUGGCUCUUAAAUUAGUUCUGCUGACACAAACAGAAGGCGAGCAGAGCUGAAGAUUAGAGCCAGAAAAAUGCUGCAAAAAGUUUGUGAAAGUUCACUUCAUUGUAACGCCCACAGUUGCCUGAGCAUAUUUCCUGUGAGCCCAUACUUUCCCUAACUUUAGUAUCCUAAAUAGUGGAUGGUGGUCCUGUGUGGAGCCAGGAAUUGGACUCACUGAUCCCCAUGGGUCCCUUCCAACUCAGGAUAUUCUAUGAUUCUAUGAUACAGACCCAUUUUAUCACCUCGUGGGGUUGAAUUCAUUAACAAACCCAAUUAGACUAAUACCACAAAGCCUAUAUAUACUUGCUGGGCUUAGAGCAGGGGUUCUUCUCCUUGUGUCCUUCACUGUCUGGCACAUCACCUGCCCUGCAGAGCGUUGUAAGCAGCACCCACCGCACGAGUCAGCAAAACCCACUGAACUUUUCCCCCUCAGACUGGCACUCAGCCUGCUGCACUGCUUUUCUCUUCCUUCACAUGACUGCAUGGGUAGGGCUGAGAGCAGUACAAAACCUGUCUGGUCUGGGGAGAAUCUGGACACUUGGCAGUUGAGGAAACCCUGGCACGUUCGUACAGAGAAUCUGUGCUAGCAGCCAUCUGCCACCUGUGUGCUCCCUCUACAGCUCUGCUAAGAAUCACAGAAUCACAGACUUGUAAGGGUUGGAAGCGACCUAUAGAAAUAUCUCAUCCAGCCUCCUUGCUAAAGCAGUUCCCUCCUGUAGGUCGCACAGGAAAGCAUCCAGGUGGGUCUUGAAUAUCUCUUGAGAAGGAGAACCCCACCACCUGUCUGGGCAGCCUAUUCCAGGGCUCUGUCACCCCACACGGAGAAGAGGAGCUUGGAAGUGCAGUAUGGAGAAAUCCCACCACCACCACAUCAGGCCCAGCCAUCGCACACGUCUGUCCCCACUCUGAGGGCAGUGGGAAGGCAGGAGCUAAACAGGAAGAGGAAAAAGUUUCAUGUACUUUUGUACGGAGACAUCCAACAAGGGUCUGAUGGCCAAUGCAGACUGUGUUUGUUCUCUA